rnacentral:rRNA from 1 species
AUUGAACGCUGGCGGCAUGCCUUACACAUGCAAGUCGAACGGUAGCGGGCCUUCGGGUGCCGACGAGUGGCGAACGGGUGAGUAAUACAUCGGAACGUGCCCGAUCGUGGGGGAUAACGAGGCGAAAGCUUUGCUAAUACCGCAUACGAUCUACGGAUGAAAGCAGGGGACCGCAAGGCCUUGCGCGGACGGAGCGGCCGAUGGCAGAUUAGGUAGUUGGUGGGAUAAAAGCUUACCAAGCCGACGGUCUGUAGCUGGUCUGAGAGGAUGAUCAGCCACACUGGGACUGAGACACGGCCCAGACUCCUACGGGAGGCAGCAGUGGGGAAUUUUGGACAAUGGGCGCAAGCCUGAUCCAGCCAUGCCGCGUGCAGGAUGAAGGCCUUCGGGUUGUAAACUGCUUUUGUACGGAACGAAAAGCCUUCUUUUAAUACAGGAGGGUCAUGACGGUACCGUAAGAAUAAGCACCGGCUAACUACGUG